CUAUUCUGGGGAAAUAGCUCUUACUCCUGCCCAGGCGCGGUGAGUCUGCACAGGGAGACGUAAACUCCUUGCUUAAACCUGAAGAAUUUUACGACAAAGGAAGGGAAAAAUACACCCUUCCCAGUUCCCCUGCAUUGGAUAGCUGGCUGCCACCUGCCUCCUCUAACAACCCCACAGCCUGUGCCCCGAACAUAGCCCUUCACCAGGUCUGAAGACUUGAGCUUCUCUGGGUUAAGGCGUCUGAGAAGAAAGUAAUUGAAGAAAGAAAAAAAAAAAGUGCAAAAGAUAUAAAAUAAAUACAUAAGCAAGAAUAUGAAAAAAAAAAAUCAAGAAAAAUCGGAAUCAACUUACCAGACAUUUGGAAAGAAUAAUCUUUUUAAAAAAAAUAAAAAUAAAGAACCCACUGAUGCUUC